rnacentral:rRNA from 1 species
UACAGAGGUCUCAAGCGUUGUUCGGAUUCAUUGGGCGUAAAGGGUGCGUAGGCGGCGCGGUAAGUCGGGUGUGAAAUCUCGGAGCUUAACUCCGAAACUGCAUUCGAUACUGCCGUGCUUGAGGACUGGAGAGGAGACUGGAAUUUACGGUGUAGCGGUGAAAUGCGCAGAUAUCGGGAGGAACACCCGUAGCGAAGGCGGCACUCUGGGCCGGAACUGACGCUGAGGUGCGAAAGCGUGGGGAGCAAACAGG